UACGGAGGGUGCAAGCGUUAUCCGGAUUCACUGGGUUUAAAGGGUGCGUAGGCGGGCAGGUAAGUCCGUGGUGAAAUCUCUGAGCUUAACUCAGAAACUGCCAUGGAUACUAUUUGUCUUGAAUAUUGUGGAGGUAAGCGGAAUAUGUCAUGUAGCGGUGAAAUGCUUAGAUAUGACAUAGAACACCGAUAGCGAAGGCAGCUUACUACAGGAUGAUUGACGCUGAGGCACGAAAGCGUGGGGAGCAAACAGG
rnacentral:rRNA from 1 species